rnacentral:rRNA from 1 species
GAUGAACGCUGGCGGCGUGCCUAAUACAUGCAAGUCGAGCGAACAGACGAGGAGCUUGCUCCUCUGACGUUAGCGGCGGACGGGUGAGUAACACGUGGAUAACCUACCUAUAAGACUGGGAUAACUUCGGGAAACCGGAGCUAAUACCGGAUAAUAUAUUGAACCGCAUGGUUCAAUAGUGAAAGACGGUUUUGCUGUCACUUAUAGAUGGAUCCGCGCCGCAUUAGCUAGUUGGUAAGGUAACGGCUUACCAAGGCGACGAUGCGUAGCCGACCGGAGAGGGUGAUCGGCCACACUGGAACGGAGACACGGUCCAGACUCCUACGGGAGGCAGCAGUAGGGAAUCUUCCGCAAUAGUCGAAAGCCUGACGGAGCAACGCCGCGUGAGUGAUGAAGGUCUUCGGAUCGUAAAGCUCUGUUAUUAGGGAAGAACAAAUGUGUAAUUAACUAUGCACGUCUUGACGGUACCUAAUCAGAAAGCCACGGCUAACUACGUG